rnacentral:rRNA from 1 species
UAAAGCGAUUCAGCGGGUUACGAUUGACGGAGCGAAGCGACGUCAAAGCGUAUACAAAGUCGAGUCGGUUUAAGGAUACGUUCGUUGGGUAGGGGAGCGUUCUGUAAGCCUGCGAAGGUGGCCUGUGAGGGUUGCUGGAGGUAUCAGAAGUGCGAAUGCUGACAUAAGUAACGAUAAAGCGGGUGAAAAGCCCGCUCGCCGGAAGACCAAGGGUUCCUGUCCAACGUUAAUCGGGGCAGGGUGAGUCGACCCCUAAGGCGAGGCCGAAAGGCGUAGUCGAUGGGAAACAGGUUAAUAUUCCUGUACUUGGUGUUACUGCGAAGGGGGGACGGAGAAGGCUAUGUUGGCCGGGCGACGGUUGUCCCGGUUUAAGCGUGUAGGUGUGUGUUCCAGGUAAAUCCGGUUCACUUUAACACUGAGGCGUGAUGACGAGGCACUACGGUGCUGAAGCAACAAAUGCCCUGCUUCCAGGAAAAGCCUCUAAGCAUCAGGUAACAUCAAAUCGUACCCCAAACCGACACAGGUGGUCAGGUAGAGAAUACCAAGGCGCUUGAGAGAACUCGGGUGAAGGAACUAGGCAAAAUGGUGCCGUAACUUCGGGAGAAGGCACGCUGACACGUAGGUGAAGUGAUUUACUCACGGAGCUGAAGUCAGUCGAAGAUACCAGCUGGCUGCAACUGUUUAUUAAAAACACAGCACUGUGCAAACACGAAAGUGGACGUAUACGGUGUGACGCCUGCCCGGUGCCGGAAGGUUAAUUGAUGGGGUCAGCGCAAGCGAAGCUCCUGAUCGAAGCCCCGGUAAACGGCGGCCGUAACUAUAACGGUCCUAAGGUAGCGAAAUUCCUUGUCGGGUAAGUUCCGACCUGCACGAAUGGCGUAAUGAUGGCCAGGCUGUCUCCACCCGAGACUCAGUGAAAUUGAACUCGCUGUGAAGAUGCAGUGUACCCGCGGCAAGACGGAAAGACCCCGUGAACCUUUACUAUAGCUUGACACUGAACAUUGAGCCUUGAUGUGUAGGAUAGGUGGGAGGCUUUGAAGUGUGGACGCCAGUCUGCAUGGAGCCGACCUUGAAAUACCACCCUUUAAUGUUUGAUGUUCUAACGUGGACCCGUAAUCCGGGUUGCGGACAGUGUCUGGUGGGUAGUUUGACUGGGGCGGUCUCCUCCUAAAGAGUAACGGAGGAGCACGAAGGUUGGCUAAUCCUGGUCGGACAUCAGGAGGUUAGUGCAAUGGCAUAAGCCAGCUUGACUGCGAGCGUGACGGCGCGAGCAGGUGCGAAAGCAGGUCAUAGUGAUCCGGUGGUUCUGAAUGGAAGGGCCAUCGCUCAACGGAUAAAAGGUACUCCGGGGAUAACAGGCUGAUACCGCCCAAGAGUUCAUAUCGACGGCGGUGUUUGGCACCUCGAUGUCGGCUCAUCACAUCCUGGGGCUGAAGUAGGUCCCAAGGGUAUGGCUGUUCGCCAUUUAAAGUGGUACGCGAGCUGGGUUUAGAACGUCGUGAGACAGUUCGGUCCCUAUCUGCCGUGGGCGCUGGAGAACUGAGGGGGGCUGCUCCUAGUACGAGAGGACCGGAGUGGACGCAUCACUGGUGUUCGGGUUGUCAUGCCAAUGGCACUGCCCGGUAGCUAAAUGCGGAAGAGAUAAGUGCUGAAAGCAUCUAAGCACGAAACUUGCCCCGA